UACGUAGGGUGCGAGCGUUGUCCGGAAUUAUUGGGCGUAAAGGGCUCGUAGGCGGUUUGUCGCGUCGGGAGUGAAAACACACAGCUUAACUGUGUGCUUGCUUCCGAUACGGGCAGACUAGAGGUAUGCAGGGGAGAACGGAAUUCCUGGUGUAGCGGUGAAAUGCGCAGAUAUCAGGAGGAACACCGGUGGCGAAGGCGGUUCUCUGGGCAUUACCUGGCGCUGAGGAGCGAAAGUGUGGGGAGCGAACAGG
rnacentral:rRNA from 1 species